rnacentral:lncRNA from 1 species
CUUAUUUUAGGGUGAAGCCCGGGCAGCCGACCCGGCUGCGCCGUAGUGGGAGGCCACGGCGAUUACCCAGGUGAAGGUCUUCCAGUACCUCGCAAGGGUUUUUUGCAUGUCUGAUACCUACGGCUCCAACAGGACCCACUGACUGAUGAUGGCUCCACCUGGACCUGCCAACUACUCCUGCAGCCCCACCCAGAAGCGGUUCAGCACACGGGAGGAUCCUGUCUCACACCCUACGAUGGCCCCCCGCCCCCACAACCCAUCAGCAGCAAGCACCCACUGCCAAGCUACCCCACCCCUUCCCCCAAACUACCUUUGGAACACCCUAGUCCCCAAAUUCUUGGGGAGACUGAUUUCAGUAAUCAUCAAAUUCUGGUCUCCCAUUCACUUGUCUCUGUGUGAAUUAAACCCUUUCUCUAUUGCA